rnacentral:rRNA from 1 species
AUGCUGGCGAAGAGGAGCAUCGUCGAGCAGGAUGUCCUCAAGCAGAUGUACGUCGUCGAGCAGGAUGUCCACGAUGCCGUAGGAGACGAAGGGGAGGGCGUACCCCAUGCAGCCAGGCCGUCGGCGACUGCUCCUCCCGCUACUCCUCACAGCACCAUCUUCAAAUUCAGAACCGCCGCCUCCAUUCCUCACCAUCUUCAGAUGUGCUCUUGCUCCUCCCACUCAUCCUCAUCGCGGGGACGUCCAGACACUUCAGAUCCAGCCACGGGUACAACUCUCCAGCUCCUCCUCGCCUCCGCUUUGGUAACAAAAACAAUCUUGUGGCGACCUCGCUGGUGCAGGCGACGCGGGUGA